AUUGAACGCUGGCGGCAGGCCUAACACAUGCAAGUCGAACGCGUGGCGGACGGGUGAGUAAUGUCUGGGAAACUGCCUGAGGGAGGGGGAUAACUACGGGAAACGGUAGCUAAUACCGCAUACCAUCAGAUGUGCCCAGGUGGGUGUAUCUUGUUGGGGGGGUAACGGCUCACCAAGGCGACGAUCCCUAGCUGGUCUGAGAGGAUGACCAGCCACACUGGAACUGAGACACGGCCCAGACUCCUACGGGAGGCAGCAGUGGGGAAUAUUGCACAAUGGGCGCAAGCCUGAUGCAGCCAUGCCGCGUGUAUGAAGAAGGCCUUCGGGUUGUAAAGUACUUUCAGUGGGGAGGCGUUACCCACAGAAGAAGCACCGGCUAACUCCGUGCCAGCAGCCGCGGUAAUAC
rnacentral:rRNA from 1 species